GCCUUCGUGGUGUAGUGGUUAGCAUGUUCGACGCGUAACCGAGAGAUCUGUGGUUCGAUUCCCGGCAAAGGUG
rnacentral:tRNA from 1 species